CUUUGCCAACUUCCCUCUGCACAGCAUACAGAUGUCUUCCUGUUUCCCCUACAUCACAACUAUGCUGCCAUUCCUUCAUAAUUGCUGUUAAGAUGGCCAACGUCUCCACUGUAGACACAGACAGAUGCUCUGAGGUUCUCUUCUUAACUUCAUAUCUUAAGGACGGUGACUGCAAACCCAGUUCUCCCUGUCAGGGUCUUUUGAUCCGUCUGUAAAUGCUGGAAUAAAUGAUAAUGCUCCAUCAUCAGCAAAUAGAGAUCGACCAAUAUCACCCUGGACUUGAAGGAAAACAUCAUUGAUCAUGAUGGAGAACAGUAUGGGACUAAU